rnacentral:tRNA from 1 species
GUCCCUGUAGCUCAACUGGAUAGAGCAGCUCACUCCUAACGAGCAGGUUAGAGGUUCAAAUCCUCUCAGGGACA